GUAAAAUGGGUGAAGCCCACAUUGCAAACUAACAUUCAAGUUCAACACAUGCUCUAACAUUCAAGUUGAACACAAAAUCAAACCACACACCCACCAAAUCAAACCACACACCCAUCAAACCAAACCUCAUACCUACCAAACCAAAUCACACACCCACCAAACCAAGCCAUUUGCUUUGCCUAUAAAUAGGCAUUCUAUUUGCUUGUAAUGUGAGAUGAAAUGAGAGAAGAUGAAGGGAAGGAAGAAAGAGGGCGAGUGUGUGAAGAGAAAGAGAGCAAAGAGAAAUUCUCCUAGAGAGAAAAUUAGGUGAGCAUACAUAUUGUAAACACUAGAGUUGUAACCAUAUUAUGUUAUGAAUGAAAGGUUACUGUUGCUGCUCUCCGAGGACGUAGACAUAGCCGAACCUCGUUAAAUGCUGUGUCUCAUCUACUUUACGUGCAGUUCAAUAUUCGCUCAUAUCCCCGUUCAUUUUAUAACACUACCCAAUUUUUUUUAAAAGAGACGUGGAUUGCUGGGAAGUGUGUGGUAAGCCGCUUUGAACGUUAAAAAGAA
rnacentral:lncRNA from 1 species